GGUGAUAUUAAAAAAAGUGUACAGUAAAUAUGUUUAGUGUGAGAAAGCCCAAUUUUAGCUCAGCUUGGACCACCUUAACUGUUAGAUGACUAAAACAGGAUAUUACUCUCUAAAAACAUGAAUGGUACUCUUUUGUGAAAUUUUCAGUAUCUGAGAACUCCUCUAAGGGACAAAAUCUCAAAAGUAUGAUUGGAGCAGGAACAACCUCUGACCUAAGUACGUUAGUUUUACCUUGAGACGACUUGCACUAGAGCCCCAACCCCACCCCACAAAAAUACAAAUUUCUUACACUAAAAAAUAGCAUCUGGGAACUCUAAAGCCAUGAGAAUAUGAAUGAUACGGGAGCACUUUCAUAUGUAGCUCUCUUAUUUGCUAUCCCAGUUGUACUAGGGAUAGUCUUAAGAAUGUAAUUGCUAUUAGGAAGCCACUGAGUGUUAAAGAAACCCCUGCCAGGCAUCCCUGUGAGUACAACAGUGUGGAAGGCUUCAGUAGGUGUCCUCAUUGGAUUCUGUAUCAGAGGACUCAUAUGGGCAAGAACUCUUUGGGUGUAUUCUCUGGGGAAAUCAUCAGCUCUAACUCCUACAUUGUUUGAGAAUAAGAAAAUACAUAAUUAGAAAGGAUUACAGUUAAUAAGAAAAGUGAAAUGUCAGGGGCCUUAAAAAAAAAACAAAUUAUUCUAUAAAUUCCAAUUAGCAAUAUGACUGAAUUACGUGGCCCUUAGUAAGAAGGUAUCACAGAGUGAAUGAAUACCUGAAGAAACGCCAAGAAACAAGAGUGUAUCUUCAAAGGUAAUUUCAGUAUGAGUCCAAACUUAGAAAGAGUAAGGGAAAUCUUGAGGCAGAUAGUGUUACAGAGACACCUGAAGGCUCAGAUUUAUAGAUUUGUUUGAGAGUCCAGAAUCUAUAAAGUGGCUAUGUAUUUUGACUAGACCAGUGGUUCUCAACCUUCCUAAUGCUGUGACCCUUUAAUACAGUUCCUCGUUUUAUGGUGACCCCCAACCAUAAAAUUAUUUUUGUUGCUACCUCAUAACUGUAAUUUUGUUAUUGACCCCUGGAAAGGGUCAUUCAACCCCCAAAGGGGUCAUGGCUCACAGGUUGAGAGCUGCUGUGCUAGAGUCUAAUCCAGUAGUAUAUUUUCAUGGUGUGUUGAUUUUUGUUCAAGAAUAUAUUUCCUCUUUCACGUGUUUGUUCUUUGGGACCUUUGUAUAACAUCUGUCUGUCUAUCUGUCUCAAAUUUGUAUGUCAUGAUUCUCUUAAAUAGAUAUCAUUCUCUAGCAUCCACACUUUAAGAGCUUUGAAGCAAACAUUGUAGGUGAUGAAAGGGAGACAUCCAUCUGAAGAAG
rnacentral:lncRNA from 1 species